AUUCUUUGUUUCUCUUUUCUCUCUGAGAAUGUUAGACCUCUGAUCUAAUUCUCCACUGCUUCCUGCUCUUUGUAUCUGUUUUUAUUAUUCUCUCCCAUUAAACCAUAAGCAACUUGAGGGCAGACAAUCAGUUUUACUCCUUUUAUAUCCACCACUGGACCUAAGUGGGUGCCUGGUUCAUUUGAUGCUUAAUGAAUUAAAUUGGCAAGAACAGAUGAUACUUGUCAAUGGAUGUAUCUAUAUAAAGAAACUCCACUUUUCCAUGACAGUGGGACAAUCAAUUCUUUCUCCUCUCUCUGUCUCAUGAGAUAUACACAAGAAACAGAAAAUUGAAAAUUAUAGGGAAUUUUUUUACAGUUCUACACAUGAUGUUGCUGGAAUUCACUGGAAUUUAAUCAAAAUAAUAUACUACAACAUAUGUCAACUCAACUUCUGUGGUUGUUAAAGGAAAAGUUUAUCUCCAAGUGAGACAAAGUGCAUUUGGAAAUAUGCAGUGGUGUUUUAUUAUAAUCUACUAGUUCUCAUCUCAGUUAAGUCACUCCAUGGAGUUGGGUAAUCUACUUUCUUCCAGCUAUAAAGUCUAAUCUAUUACAAGUCAUUGAAUGUUAGAAAUAGGUCAAGUCAUGUCCAGGAAUAUGGCUGGAACAUUGGAAAAAUAGAAUACACAGGAGGUGAGCUGGAAUGGGAGGAUAUGGAAAGAGAAAUAAAAUAAGGACACAUGGAGGACAGAAAAAAAUAGGAGCCAAAAAGGAUCCUUCAGUGGAGAAUAAUACAGCUUCAUUUCUAUUUCCUUUGAUAUUUAUGAUCGAUCAAGCCUACAUUUCUUCAUACUGAGGAAGGAAGAUGUGACUUAAGACAAUAAAAGUUGCAAGUUGGCCUUUGAGUAAUGGGAAAAGUAUAUCACAUAAUUCUGUGUGAGACCAGUUCUUAGUUUUUUUCUGAGUCCAUAGAAUCACUUUAAUAAUCUGAUGAAAGCUAAUGAAUCUUUCCCCCACAAAGUGCACAAACAUCUAAAAUUUGGCCUGUGAUUUUAUUUUGAAGGUUCACAGACUCCUGCAGCCCCUCAAUUAAUUCUGUGCAAGACUACUUCUGGUAGCUAAGUUUUCUGUGUCCCUUACAUCUUAUAUUGGAAUUGAGCUUUCAGUUGCCGUUUACCCCAGAGAAGACAAGAUACAAGUGCUCCCAUCUGUGGGUAGGGGUUAUCUGGUGUCUAUGUUCUACAUUUUUGGUGCAAGCAGUUGGCCUUCCAGAAAUGGGAAUAGCUAUAAAUAGCAAAUGUUUGGCUGAGACAAUCUGAAGCAGUUUUCUCCAAAUGCUCUGUGGGCAACAUGAAUGAGGGAACCAAACCAGACACAAAUGGUUUACGUAAGUCUGUCAAGGGCAACAAGGGGGUUAGUGGUAAAGGAAGGGGAUGAAGAGGACACGCAUGAGUGCAUGAUGCCUCAGAGCCAACAUGUGGCAAUGUUACUGGAUGAUGUGGCACAUCUGUUUGCAAGCUGUGUAUGCUUCAGAAUUGAGCAAAUAGGUGUAGCAAAAGGUCAAGAACAGCAAAUAGAAUCCAUCUUCCUUACCAAUUCCAGUAGUCUGUAUUGCAGUCUGCUAUAUCAAUUUCCCCCAGUGGAUCAACUCUCCUGGUAUUGACACCAUUGUGUAACCACCUCCCCUUGAAGCUGGGCUGUUCCUCUGAUUUGCUUUAACCAGUAGAAGGUGGAAGAAGUGGAGUUGUGCCAGUUCUGGCCUAAACCUUAAGAGGUCCUGGAAGUCUGCUUUCUGCUCUUGGGAGCCCUGAGCUGCCACAGAAGAAAUCUGUUUGCUGUGCUACAGCGACCAUGUGGAGAGGCCAUGUGGAGAGGGAGGGAACCUGCGACUCCAUGAAGGAGAACUGAAGAUCCAGCCACCAAUGAGAACUGAGGAUCCAGACACAGGACCACAGGCACAAAGGCUUCUGCUCUAGAACUCCCUUCUUCUUACUCCUGAAAUGUUGGAUGAUGCUAUGGGAAACAGAUGAGUUUGUCCAGGGAACCAUGUGGAGUACGAACAGAGGGAAGGCAAGAAAGGAACUCGUCAAACGGAUCGAAGAUAAGAGAUGGAUGGGCCCGGGACAUCUUCCCCAGUGGCUCUUGUCCACGGGACACCUGGCUUGUACCCACAGAAAGUUGGCUUCCAGCCAUGCUUGAGUGAGAACAGUGAGGGCCCUUGCCUUCCUACAACAGGCUGUCUCUGACAGAAGAAUACAGUUCAUCAAAAGUGUCUGCAGGUUGUCAAACUCAGAGAGGUUUGGGGACCCUCUGAGGCUGUCGUGGUCAACAAGAAGAUUUUCUGUUGGGCUUUUCCAUCACUCACCCUGAGGAAAUAAUCACUCACUACAUUCUGCAUGUUCUCAUGAUAGAGUUCUCCAUUUGAGAGAAAAGAGCCAUUUUAUCAAAGGACAAUAUAGCCCUUCUCUGGGUCCACGUAGCUUCCAUUAUCAGACCAUAAUAAAUCAUAUUUAUGUUCCCAGUUAAUAAGACUGAUUACAACACAGGUUCCAGACAUGGGAAAAGCAAAGCAGGUGAAAAGAUGUUUUAAUGAAAAUAUGAUAAGAAAACAGCUUCUUGUGAACAUUCUGUGCUAUUAUUUGUAAUGAUUACAGACAAUUUUUGAUGCAUCUUGUUUAGCAAUGGUUUAAGCUGCAUAAAUUGGCUCACUGGUAGAUAAGUAAAAAUGAUAAGAAAAAAUCAUGAAAUCUUCUUAUGUUGUCUAGAAUCAUUAUGUACAUAACAAGGGCAAAAUGGGUUUAAUGUAUAUGCUGGGGAUGGAGGGGAAACAGGCUUCUCAGAAAAGCAUGGCUUGGGUAUUAUUUGAAAUGAUUUAGAAAUUUUCUCCUCAUCUUGCUUAUUAAAGAUGUGUUCUCCCUGAAAUUUGGGGGUGCUAGGCAUUAAUUUCAUCUUUGUAAAUGAAUCUACAGCUCUACUUCUUUUAUCCAAUCUCAAAGUUGUUGUUUUUUUUUCUUGCUUUCUUUUUUUCCCUUCUUGGACCUCAGUACAAAGAGACAAAGAGAUAUAUAUUUCCUACUCAAUGUUUGUGCACACUUGCCAUUAGUGCUAAUGGGAAUUAAGUGCCUGCUUGGGAGGAAAACAGACCCCAAAGUUUAAUAUUGGAAGCUACCUUAUUAAGAAGGUCUGGACAUUUUUAGCUUCAGUGAGUUCAAUUACAUUAAAGUACCAACUUUCUAAAUUAGUACAAAAAAAAGAAAAAAUCAUAUAAAAUAUUGAAAUAGCUUCAGCCUUUAACUGUAUAAAACAGAAGAAGAGCAUCUGAAGGCGAGGACUCAGGGUGUGUCGUAUGGCUUGUUUGUUCAUAUUAAUUUACCAGUUUGAUAGUGUAACACAUAACAAUUUCAGGUUAGCACCCAGCACUUGGAGUAAUUCUUUCCACUGUUCGUUUGUGGCUUUGAUGAGAAUUUUGUUGUCCUUGGCUUUGGGGUUUCUAAAAAGGCAAAUGAAGCUUCCUGGAGUCCAUGUUAUUCUGAGAGUGGCAAUCUGAAAUUUUAGAUUAGCACAAUUCAGAUUCAGCAAGUGGUUGGGAUAUUUUAUUUAUUUUGGAUGGGGAGUGCAGGGGUGGUUGGUAUCUUUCUCACAUAUACAUGUAGGCCUCACAGUGUGCACCUGUGAGGGAUUCCUUAAUAAUCUGCCCGUGGAAUAACCAUUGUUAUGAACUGAAGAAGAGAGUAUUCUCCAUAAUACAAUUGUCAUGGCUGUACUGCUAGAAAGGCACAGGGAUGGCAUUGCAAACCCUUCUUGCCAAAAGAAAACACCACUCAAUAUCUCCCAGACAAUUUUGCUCAGAGAUUCUUGGAUUCUACUUUUUCUAAGGCAGUUUGCACUAAAGUUAAAUAUUGGGAGAGUGGAUGAGAUUCAGUCCCCUCCUCCUAGAUCAUUGCUUUCUUUGUUGGCAAUUUCUCUUUGUUCUAUUUUAACAUGAAUAAAAGAGGGGAAGGGCGAUUGGCCCCACGUCAUUCACAUUGUCUGUUUUCCAUGGAAAUAACUGUCAGGACUUCUACUGCAUCUUCCUUUGCUUUUUAGCUUGCGCUCCAUUUUUCUUUUCAUAGGUUGACCAAAAAAUAUUGCCUGCAAGAGAAUUCCGUAAUGCCACCAUAUAUCUAAUAUCUAUGAGGCGUUUUGUUUUAGCGUUACUGGACUUAACCACAAAAGGCAUUUGACAUUGAUAAAGAAUCUGUCAAGUCUACCCUGAUCAGUGCACUGAAAUCACUCAUGACAGGGAAGACACCAACUCCCCAAAGCAGUGGUAGAUUAGGGGAAAAAUGAUCAGAAGCUUUGUCAUUGUGAAGCCAUCUCAUGUUGGACCCUACACUGAGCCAAAUGUGUUUUACUUGUCACACUCCAUUAGCAUGUGUGAAACAGUUGGGAAAAUGGCCAUAUGAUUAGACAGAAGGAAACCCAAAUUCUUCAUAUCGGGACUUGUUACCACUGAAUAAUGUCUUUGCAGGAGGGAUUGGUUUAGAUUUUGUUAAUUUCUUGUGUGAUGAAAAAUAAAUGGCAUUUAUGGAUAGACUCUACAAAAGUUGACCACAAACAGUCCCUCUAAAUCUCCCCUGUGUUAAACAUUUAUAAAAGAAGAUGUGUUGAAAUCCACAAUUUUACUGGCAAAACGGUCACUGAUAUCAGACUCCUAAAAUUUGCUCCCUCAACACCUCCUCACCAUGGGCACCAGGAGAUUACAUUUGCCCAGAGCUGAGCAUCUUUCUAUGGCUAAGAAAAAGCAGAGGACUGGUGUCAGAUGAGGACUUCCCUCUGGAGUAAUUCUUACCUGAACAAAAUCCGAAUUUAUGUAGAUAUUUUCUGCUAAAAAAUUGUUGUUGUUGCUUUGUUUGUGUUGAGAGAGAAUGUCAGUGAAAAGAUGACUUUAAGGAUGAGAAGAUAAGAAAGACUUGGAUACAAAGGAAAUUCCAGUAAUGCUUAAAACACCAUGACCUCAGCACUGUAAGGAAAGGACAGAGUAGGCGGUAUUUUCCUCUUGGGGCCAAUCUGUUGAAAACUCACAUAGAAUGAAAGAAAAUCUAUUAUGGGAAAGAAAGAU
rnacentral:lncRNA from 1 species